GUGGUGGCUCAGUGGUAGAGCAUCUGCUCCACAUGCACAAGGUCGCAGGUUCGAUCCCCAGCAUCUCCA